rnacentral:rRNA from 1 species
UAAUCGGAACGUGCCCUAGAGUGGGGGAUAACGUAGCGAAAGUUACGCUAAUACCGCAUACGAUCUAAGGAUGAAAGUGGGGGAUCGCAAGACCUCAUGCUCGUGGAGCGGCCGAUAUCUGAUUAGCUAGUUGGUAGGGUAAAAGCCUACCAAGGCAUCGAUCAGUAGCUGGUCUGAGAGGACGACCAGCCACACUGGAACUGAGACACGGUCCAG